AACGCACAUUGCGCCCCUUGGUAUUCCGAGGGGCAUGCCUGUUCGAGCGUCAUUAUAACCACUCAAGCCUGGCUUGGUAUUGGGGUUCGCGGGUUCGCGGCCCUUAAAAUCAGUGGCGGUGCCGUCGUGCUCUAAGCGUAGUAAAUCUCUCGCUCUUGGGUCCCGGCGGUUGCUUGCCAAAACCCCCCUAUUUUCUCAGGUUGACCUCGGAUCAGGUAGGGAUACCCGCUGAACUUAA
rnacentral:misc_RNA from 1 species